UUUUAAAUAUUUUUUGCUUAUUGCAAAAAAAAGAUCACUGUGCUGCAAGGCAUGCUCAUUUAGCUGAAGCAGCUCACCACCACAAACUUCCUUUCACAAACUCCUGGAUUUCCUUCAUGCUUUUUCAUUCCUCUCCCGGGAAAUACAAUUGUCUCUUAGAUGUCAGCGUUUAGAUAAAAUGAUGAUAAAUGCUAUACAAAAGACAAAGGAAUCCAGAAUACAUGUGAUGGGAAAGAAUUAGUCCUUUGCAACUCAUGGUGAUUAGAAGUUUCAUAGUACUUCUGGAAAUCAUUGGUGUGGUCACUCUCCUCUCCUGGCCAAACUUCAAGCAAGACAGCAUGCUGCCAGCUUUACCUUACAUGGCUUUCUACGGACUGGGAAUGCCAAAUACCAGCUACUAUAUGCCUUACAGUGGCCUGUGUAGAAAUACCUAAAACGCAGCUGGAUGUCGAUAGGUCCGGUGACAUGGUGUUACACCGAAAGGAGCUUUAGACUACCCAAGAUGCUGGCAGGAUUCUUAGCUUCUUUCAUAAAGGAGAGUAAGCUAAAGUUAUGCUCAGAUAUCCUUAGGAUUCAGCAAUCAACAAUCCAAAGCAAGGCAAGCCUGAAAAGAAGGAUCAUCCUUAAUCCACUGUUUAUGACUGCGCAUUGCUAGAGACACAGGAGCGCUCUUUAUUUUGCAUUAAAAAAGAAACGGUUUUCAA